CCUACGGGAGGCAGCAGUGGGGAAUAUUGCACAAUGGGGGAAACCCUGAUGCAGCGACGCCGCGUGAAGGAAGAAGUAUUUCGGUAUGUAAACUUCUAUCAGCAGGUAAGAAGAUGACGGUACCUGACUAAGAAGCACUGGCUAAAUACGUGCCAGCAGCCGCGGUAAUACGUAUGGUGCAAGCGUUAUCCGGAUUUACUGGGUGUAAAGGGAGCGUAGACGGAGAGGCAAGUCUGAAGUGAAAGCCCGGGGCUCAACCCCGGGACUGCUUUGGAAACUGCAGUUCUAGAGUGCCGGAGAGGUAAGCGGAAUUCCUAGUGUAGCGGUGAAAUGCGUAGAUAUUAGGAGGAACACCAGUGGCGAAGGCGGCUUACUGGACGGUGACUGACGUUGAGGCUCGAAAGCGUGGGGAGCAAACAGGAUUAGAUACCCCUGUAGUC
rnacentral:rRNA from 1 species